rnacentral:rRNA from 1 species
UGGGGAAUUUUGGACAAUGGGGGAAACCCUGAUCCAGCCAUCCCGCGUGUGCGAUGAAGGCCUUCGGGCUGUAAAGCACUUUUGGCAGGAAAGAAACGUCGCGGGUUAAUACCCCGCGAAACUGACGGUACCUGCAGAAUAAGCACCGGCUAACUACGUGCCAGCAGCCGCGGUAAUACGUAGGGUGCAAGCGUUAAUCGGAAUUACUGGGCGUAAAGCGUGCGCAGGCGGUUCGGAAAGAAAGAUGUGAAAUCCCAGAGCUUAACUUUGGAACUGCAUUUUUAACUACCGGGCUAGAGUGUGUCAGAGGGAGGUGGAAUUCCGCGUGUAGCGGUGAAAUGCGUAGAUAUGCGGAGGAACACCGAUGGCGAAGGCAGCCUCCUGGGAUAACACUGACGCUCAUGCACGAAAGCGUGGGGAGCAAACAGGAUUAGAUACCCUGGUAGUCCACGCCCUAAACGAUGUCAACUAGCUGUUGGGGCCUUCGGGCCUUGGUAGCGCAGCUAACGCGUGAAGUUGACCGCCUGGGGAGUACGGUCGCAAGAUU